rfam:Gemmatimonadetes bacterium 13_1_40CM_69_22 13_1_40cm_scaffold_8, whole genome shotgun sequence.
GGAGGGCUAGACCUAACUGGUAAGGCGGCGGUCUUGAAAACCGCUGGGCGCAAGCCCGUACAGGUUCGAGUCCUGUGCCCUCCG